GCGAACAUAAGUUUGAACGGCAUGAUCACAAGUCAUCCUCAGUCUGUGAGGAUGCAUAACAUCUAUCUCUGAUUAGAAACAAUUAGUACUUAGAACACUGCCUUCUUCCAUUUCAAGCUAGGGGGGCUAGGGGAGGAGCCCCGAGGACUGCGGCUGGAUAACAAUGGUGAGUGGUUAAUGGAGUGGUCUUGACGGUCUAAACCGUGUCAGCUUUAGUGUCAGGCACUGGCGAUCUUUCCUGACCUGAGCCUUCACGAGGUACAGUUAGAGAGACUGUGGCUUCCUGUCCCAGCAAAGGACCAGACGUUGCCAUUCGUCAGCCUUACGUCGGUCCGCAAAGAACGGAGUUGGUCCGGACGUACCCAUGAGCCCCUUGGACCCGACCCGCGGGAGUCCCUGCGGCCCGCGGUUUAGCGCUUCCCGCCUCGCGCCGAGGUUAGUCUUCGCUCCGCGUCCACCGGGAGGAGCCGGGGAGCACGGCCGCCCCAGAGCUGCGGCGGGGCUGAGGGGGCCGCCCGCCCCCGGGGGCUCGUACAGCGUCUCCACUCCUUCCCCCGCCAGCAAACGCAGAGGAACAGUUCCCAGAGUUGUCCGUGGGCGGACUCACAUGACACAUCCUCACACCCGGUUCCAUCCUGUGCUCUGUUUGCUCCUCGUUCGCGGCUCGGGAACAGCGGCCGUCCACGGCCGUCCACGUCGUGCUAUCUGAGCGGGAGUCCCAACCGGUCGGUCGUGCGGCUGAACAUCCAGGCUGCCGGCCUUGUGGUGUGCUUGUGCCGGGUUGAUCCUUUCCAGCUGUGAGACCUCAGCAAGCUUGCUCAGCCCGUGCAGUGACCUGCAGUCUUGAACGGUGGGAAGGCCCAUACCUCAGGAGAAUUAUUAUGAAGAAGUCGCUGGCUCUUCACAGCGUUUGGGUGUGAAAAAAUACUUACGCACGUUGCUGGAGGAAGUAACGGCAACAAUGCAAAUUUGCCCGGAAACUCUUUUGAAUCCAGUUCGCCUUUCUGUGAAAUAAAAUUUGGGUUGUGGCAUUUUUUGA